rnacentral:rRNA from 1 species
AGCGAACGCUGGCGGCAGGCCUAACACAUGCAAGUCGAACGAACUCUUCGGAAUUAGUGGCGGACGGGUGAGUAACACGUGGGAACGUGCCUUUAUGUUCGGAAUAACUCAGGGAAACUUGUGCUAAUACCGAAUGUGCCCUUCUGGGGAAAGAUUUAUCGCCUUUAGAGCGGCCCGCGUCCGAUUAGCUAGUUGGUGAGGUAAAGGCUCACCAAGGCUACGAUCAGUAGCUGGGCUGAGAGGAUGAUCAGCCACAUUGGGACUGAGAUACGGCCGAAAAUCCUACGGGAGGCAGGAGUGGGGGAUCUUGCGCAAUGGGCGAAAGGCUGACGCAGCCAUGCCGGGUGAAUGAUGAAGGUGUUAGAAUAGUAAAAUUCUUUCACCGGGGACGAUAAUGACGGUACCCGGAGAAGAAGCCCCGGCUAACUUCGUG